UGGCAGAGAUAAAACAACUGAGGGAAAGAGAGCUGCCGUGUGGAAAGUAAGCUGCUGUCUGUGUAAAAGGGGAGGGCAAGGAAUAGCUAACACUCUCCUUUGGAGCUAAAGCAUCUUUGGAGGGAUGUCCAGAAAAAUGACCAUUUUGGCUGCCUCCAGAGACGAGAAUCUGGUGCCCGGAAAACAGGAUUGGACCGAAGAUUGUUUACGCCAUAUUCUUUUCAUCAGUGGAAAUUUGAACCUGAGACUGCCUUAAAGCUAAACUCAUUCCUUCAAUAACUAAGGAAAGAAGAUCUUUUCGGGGACCUUGUUUUGAUGGACGUACUGACGUGCCAACCUGAACGGGAGACUCUGUAUCUUCAGUGAUCCAAAGCUGCUAUGAGUGCCCGCCGUGCUCCGGCCUGCACUAAUCUGCUGUUUCGUUUUCCUGUGCAUGCUGUGUGACCCUGGACUCCUUCUGGACCCCUGGCUCCUCCCUCUCUGCAAUCAUCAAUGCCUAGCACUGGCAGCGGUGGCUUCUUCCUGCUACAGGUGCUUGGAAAGCAGAACACACGGGUUUGGGAGAAAAGAUUUUCUUCUUCUUGAACACUGAAAGAACUCCCAGUUCAGGAGCCUACACUCUCCUAUGUCAAAGUGUGCAGUGAGGGAGUCUGAGGGGUAGAGUUGAAAUCUCCACUUGCAGCCCAGCUGCCAAGGAGGCUGGACCAGGAGUACAAAGGAUUAUCAUUCAAGCUUCCUGCCAAGGAAGAAGGAAGAGAACAUUCCCCUAAUACAGAGAGGGAUGUACAUGCUGGGCCAUCAAAAUGACAGAGCCAGGCCCAGAGUGCGGAAGGUUUCUAUCCUGGGGAGGGAAACUCCAGCCCUCUGUAAAGUAGUUUUAAAACACGCCCACGAGUUCUCUGACAACCCUCCUAUCAGAAGAUGGAGUCUAAUUUCCUGCCUCCUUCAGCCUUAAUGACUGACCUCAAGUAGAGAGAAGUGAUGGUGAGUGACUUCUGAAGCUAGGUCAUAACAGGAAACACAGCUACUACAAGGCUGUACUGAGAUGGUCAUCCUUAGAAGGAGCUGCCAUGUUCUGGUGAAGCCCAGGCUACGUGAAGAGGCCGCAUCUAGCUAUUUCAGCUGACAGCUACCAUCAAUUGCCAGACACAAGAGUAAGUCUUUAGAUGAUCCCAACCCCCAGCCUUUGACAUGUGCCAGCUGAUGCCCCGAGGAGCAGAGACAUGCUGACUUUACUGAGUCCAAGCCAGACUACAGAUCUGUCCACAAAAUAAAUGUUAUUUUUUCAGACCA